rnacentral:sRNA from 1 species
AAAUUUCUGGUUAGUGAUAACAGCUAAACAAAUAAUAGAGCAAACCAUGAGUCUAUUAUUAUUUUUCUUUUUAAAUGAUUUUGUAGAUUGAUCUGAAUUUUUUAAGAAUAUAUACAUGUAUAUAUAAAUACAUGUAACAUACAUGUACAUGUACAUAACAUAUGUGUUGUUUAAAAGGAAAAUUUAUGGUAUGGGGUCUAUGUGGGGGUUUUUUAAUGUAAUAUUGUGCCACAAUCUUGUCAUUGUGUGUAUAAAUUACAAUUUUGAUGUAAAUUCAGCACGCGGGGUUAGUAUCCCAUAUUUGUAUUUUUGAAUUAGCAUUUUAUAAGUACAUUGUUGGUAAAAAACCUGUAAUUGGCUCAUUUUUUUUUUUUAUCUCUGAUCAAUUGACUUACAUGGAAUAUGUGGAAUGACUGAAUCUAAUUUGAUUUUCCGUAUUAUAUAGGUCUAGGUCAAGGCCAAAUUCAGAUAUUGUUGUAUUUGUACUUCUCUGUGGCAUUAUUUUGCUUGGUUGUGAACAUAUAAAGAACAAUUUUAACGGC